rnacentral:rRNA from 1 species
AUGGCUGGGCCGUGGCUAAUCAUCGGCGACUUUAACCUGAUCACGGACCCAUGUGACAAAAACAAUGAUAGAAUUUGCCGCCGCUGGAUGAAUAAGUUUCGCCGCACUCUGAAUAGCUCUAGCCUUCGCGAGCUUCCUCUCGUUGGUAGAAGGUUUACAUGGAGUAACGAGCAAGACUCGCCCACACUAGUUAGGCUUGAUCGUGCCUUUUGC